ACUUUAUAAAUUUAAUGAUUUUAUAUAUUUUAUAUAAAGAUAAUUUUUGGAAAAUUUAUUUGGUUGGGGCGACAAUGGUAUAAUUUAAAUAACUGCUAUUAAGUUUAACAAAAAUAUUUGCUUGAAAUACUGAUAAUUGAUCCUUUAUAAGGAUUUUAAGAUCAAGUU
rnacentral:rRNA from 1 species